AAUUGGAGGGCAAGUCUGGUGCCAGCAGCCGCGGUAAUUCCAGCUCCAAUAGCGUAUAUUAAAGUUGUUGCAGUUAAAAAGCUCGUAGUUGAAUUUCGGGAUCAGCAGGUUGGUCGUGCCUACGGUAUGAACUGGCCUUGCUGAUUCCUCCCUCUUGAUGAGCCGUAAUGCCAUUAAUUUGGUGUUGCGGGGAAUCAGGACUGUUACUUUGAAAAAAUUAGAGUGUUUAAAGCAGGCAAGCGCUUGAAUACAUUAGCAUGGAAUAAUGAAAUAGGACGUUUGAUCCUAUUUUGUUGGUUUCUAGGAUUGACGUAAUGAUUAAUAGGGAUAGUUGGGGGCAUUAGUAUUCAAUUGUCAGAGGUGAAAUUCUUGGAUUUAUUGAAGACUAACUACUGCGAAAGCAUUUGCCAAGGAUGUUUUCAUUAAUCAAGAACGAAAGUUAGGGGAUCGAAGACGAUCAGAUACCGUCGUAGUCUUAACCAUAAACUAUGCCGACUAGGGAUCGGAUGAUGUUAAUUUUUUAAUGACUCAUUCGGCGCCUUACGGGAAACCAAAGUGU
rnacentral:rRNA from 1 species